AAUUUUAUUUCCUAAAGUGAUCAAGGAAAAAGGAAAAGAAACUGUAUGUUCCAAAAUAUUUCUAGUGGCUCUUUUUGUGGUGGUAAAGAACUGGAAGCUGAAGGGCUGGCCAUCAAUUGGAGAAUUGUGGACUUUGAUGUCUUUGGAAGAGAGAAUAAGGAUGACAACUUUGUGCAACUCUGCCUCACAAAUCCAAGUUAUGAUACCACCCCUUGAUCGGUCUUCUUCAAAAAUGAAAGACAUGAACUUCGGCCAUCCUGACCAUGCAGCUUAGGAGCAUAGAGUACAACAUAGAUGAGUCGCAUUAUUACGCAGUCUGGAAUACUGAGUUCAAAAUCAGCCUGACACUGACUAGGCUCUGCAAACCUAAUAAAAGAACCAAAUUUAGAAUUUUGAUAAGUAGAUGUGAUGGAUGGAGUGGAGAGGGGAGACAUUGGAGGAAGGGAGAAAAGCCAGGAAAAUAUUACAAUAGUGAAGAUAAGAGGUAAUAAAGGCUUAAACUAUAAAGGUGGUCA
rnacentral:lncRNA from 1 species